CCUACGGGUGGCAGCAGUGGGGAAUAUUGGACAAUGGGGGGAACCCUGAUCCAGCCAUGCCGCGUGUGUGAAGAAGGCCCUCGGGUUGUAAAGCACUUUCAGUGAGGAAGAACGCCUGGUGGUUAAUACCCAUCAGGAAAGACAUCACUCACAGAAGAAGCACCGGCUAACUCCGUGCCAGCAGCCGCGGUAAUACGGAGGGUGCGAGCGUUAAUCGGAAUUACUGGGCGUAAAGCGCGCGUAGGUGGCUUGAUAAGCCGGUUGUGAAAGCCCCGGGCUCAACCUGGGAACGGCAUCCGGAACUGUCAAGCUAGAGUGUAGGAGAGGAAGGUAGAAUUCCCGGUGUAGCGGUGAAAUGCGUAGAGAUCGGGAGGAAUACCAGUGGCGAAGGCGGCCUUCUGGACUGACACUGACACUGAGGUGCGAAAGCGUGGGUAGAAAACAGGAUUAGAUACCCUAGUAGUC
rnacentral:rRNA from 1 species